rnacentral:misc_RNA from 1 species
GCCUGCUUGGUACCAGUUUGUGACUGCAACAUUCUGUCAUUUUAACUGGAACCACCUAUCUAGCAACCUUUUCUUUCUGUAUAUUUUUGGAAAACUCGUUGAAGAGGAGGAAGGAAACUUUGGAUUGUGGCUUUCUUAUAUAUUAACUGGUGCUGGAGCUAACCUUGUCUCAUGGUUGAUUCUUCCAAGAAAUGCUGUUUCUGUUGGUGCGUCUGGUGCAGUGUUU